rnacentral:rRNA from 1 species
CCUACGGGAGGCAGCAGUAGGGAAUCUUCCACAAUGGACGAAAGUCUGAUGGAGCAACGCCGCGUGAGUGAUGAAGGGUUUCGGCUCGUAAAACUCUGUUGUUGGAGAAGAACAGGUGAUAGAGUAACUGUUAUCAUCUUGACGGUAUCCAACCAGAAAGCCACGGCUAACUACGUGCCAGCAGCCGCGGUAAU